AUUGAACGCUAGCGGGAUGCUUUACACAUGCAAGUCGAACGGCAGCGCGGACUUCGGUCUGGCGGCGAGUGGCGAACGGGUGAGUAAUGUAUCGGAACGUGCCCAGUAGCGGGGGAUAACUACGCGAAAGCGUAGCUAAUACCGCAUACGCCCUACGGGGGAAAGCAGGGGAUCGUAAGACCUUGCACUAUUGGAGCGGCCGAUAUCGGAUUAGCUAGUUGGUGAGGUAACGGCUCACCAAGGCGACGAUCCGUAGCUGGUUUGAGAGGACGACAAGCCACACUGGGACUGAGACACGGCCCAGACUCCUACGGGAGGCAGCAGUGGGGAAUUUUGGACAAUGGGGGCAACCCUGAUCCAGCCAUCCCGCGUGUGCGAUGAAGGCCUUCGGGUUGUAAAGCACUUUUGGCAGGAAAGAAACGUCGCGGGCUAAUACCCCGUGGAACUGACGGUACCUGCAGAAUAAGCACCGGCUAACUACGUG
rnacentral:rRNA from 1 species